rnacentral:rRNA from 1 species
UACGUAGGGGGCUAGCGUUGUCCGGAAUUAUUGGGCGUAAAGAGCUCGUAGGCGGUUCGUCGCGUCGGCUGUGAAAUCCCGAGGCUCAACCUCGGGUCUGCAGUCGAUACGGGCGGACUGGAGUUCGGCAGGGGAGACUGGAAUUCCUGGUGUAGCGGUGAAAUGCGCAGAUAUCAGGAGGAACACCGAUGGCGAAGGCAGGUCUCUGGGCCACUACUGACGCUGAGAAGCGAAAGCAUGGGGAGCGAACAGG